UGCCCGCCUCUUGUUUCUUUUGAAGUUAUGAAGACCAAAUAUGGACCAUCGAUAGACCUCAUCAUGAAGUAUCACCAGAUGACAUUGUUAAGGAUUUUGUCAUCCCCUUAAGAACUUAUAUCCCUUCUAUUGAUUUUUUUCAAAAUAGCCCCCUCUGUGUUUUUUAAGAUAUCAUGAACUCAUUAGGACCAUAGGUAGAUCUCAUCAUGAUGUAUUACCAUAUGAGGCGUAAAAGGAUUUCAUCAUCCACUAUAAGAGUUAUAUCCCCUUGAAGCAAUUUCUUUUAUUUGCAUUUUUCUCAAAAAGUAUUAGAGAUAGAAUCAAUUUGAAAACUGCAACAUGUGAAGGAACAGAU
rnacentral:lncRNA from 1 species